rnacentral:rRNA from 1 species
AGAGUUUGAUCCUGGCUCAGGACGAACGCUGGCGGCGUGCCUAAUACAUGCAAGUCGCGCGGAGUUUCCGCUUGGAAGCCUUCGGGCGGAAGGGCGGGAACUUAGCGGCGAACGGGUGAGUAACACGUGGGCAACCUGCCCGCAAGACGGGGAUAACUGGCGGAAACGUCAGCUAAUACCGGAUAGGUCAUCGGAGGGGCAUCCUUCUGAUGGGAAAGGCGGAGAAAUCUGCCGCUUGCGGAUGGGCCCGCGGCGCAUUAGCUGGUUGGCGGGGUAACGGCCCACCAAGGCGACGAUGCGUAGCCGACCUGAGAGGGUGACCGGCCACACUGGGACUGAGACACGGCCCAGACUCCUACGGGAGGCAGCAGUAGGGAAUCUUCGGCAAUGGGCGCAAGCCUGACCGAGCAACGCCGCGUGAGUGAGGAAGGCCUUCGGGUCGUAAAGCUCUGUUGCCAGGGAAGAAUUCCUUCAUGUUAA